AUUGAACGCUGGCGGCAGGCCUAACACAUGCAAGUCGAACGAGUGGCGGACGGGUGAGUAAUGUCUGGGAAACUGCCUGAUGGAGGGGGAUAACUACUGGAAACGGUAGCUAAUACCGCAUACCAUCAGAUUUGCCCAGAUGGGAUUAGCUUGUUGGUGGGGUAACGGCUCACCAAGGCGACGAUCCCUCGCUGGUCUGAGAGGAUGACCAGCCCCACUGGGACUGAGACACGGUCCAGGCUCCGACGUGCGGGAGCAGUGGGGAAUAUUGCACAAUGGGCGCAAGCCUGAUGCAGCCAUGCCGCGUGUAUGAAGAAGGCCUUCGGGUUGUAAAGUACUUUCAGCGGGGGGGCGUUACCCGCAGAAGGAGCACCGGCUAACUCCGGGCCAGCAGCCGCGGUAAUUC
rnacentral:rRNA from 1 species